rnacentral:lncRNA from 1 species
UAAAAGCAUCUUUGUCCUUCAUAAUUCCUAACCCUAUUUCAUUCUUUCAGCUGUAUCUCUCUUUCUCUGGUUUCACUCUACAUCGUCUUCGAACUUGGAUUUAUCAUCUCUUCAUCGGCUACAAUUCCUCAAACACGUUAAAUCUCAUUCAUCUUUUUCCCCUUGAUUUUAUUACAUCUUGAAAGAUCUACAAACAUAUCCACCUGCACCGACACCUUCAUCUCGCAAAAAGCUCACAAAAUCAUCCAAAAAGCCGAAAUUCACCCCCAAACCAUCGGUUCAGAGGAGAGGAACUUUUGUCUUACCUAAAAGUGACAGUAGUGAUGAUGAUUCUGAAACCGAGCAGGAAUUACUCCACACAGUCAUUCUUAUGCAAGUCAUGCAAUGGGCAGAGGGUGGUGAGAGGCCCAAGUCUGUGAAAGUUAAUAUCAUGCCAGGGUGUGUUCUAUCAGAUGUACAGUACCCGUGCAACCCAUGAAGCUAUAGUUGCCUUACGAUCGAAAUAAUGAAUACUCCUAUCGUUUGGUUGACAAACAUGUGUGUAUUCAUUGGCUUCGAGAAUUGAAAACCAAAUCGGCAAUUCGAACUAAAGAAGUUUCUUCUUUUCAUGAUAUCAUUUAUGCUUCUAUCAAGGUCUUUGAUCAUUCCGUGGAGGAGUACAUAACUGCCUAUGAGAUCUUUCACCUUCUAAUUUAGAUGGCAUUAUUCCGGCUUGAAUUAUUAACAUGUUACUUAAGACCAUAUGAAGAAGCAUAUUUCAUUUGUUUCAUUUUAUGUUUUUCAUCAAACAGAUCUGAGUUUAUCUUUUAGCAAAUGGAGACUUCAUUCUUCAAAGUUUUGCAGCACCUAGCAUCACUACACGGCUAUUCAAUUUCUUCUCGGAUUCACACUUCCCCUCUUCGAUUGAUAUUUGUGAUGUUACGUUUGAAGUUAAGUAUUUCAUGAUAGGAGGACGGUAUUUGUUCCACCUGUUACCUACCAUGAUGCCAUUAAAGGUUUCAAGAAGGUUGGUGUUAUUGGAUUGGGUCCCAGGGUUCAUGCACAUUAACAACAGUCGAUAGCAUUGAUGAAGUGACUUUCUUUCAACCGGAAGUUUCAUCAGGUACACUCUUGGUGAUCCAGCAAAAGAAGUAUUAAAACACUCAUGUCAAGAUUUGAUGAUGAUAUGCCAGGAUGUCCGAAGCACCUUUUAUCAAGCUGUUGCUGAAUUUAAGAACAAUAACAGUUCUGAAAGCGAGUAAAUGAACUACUCUUUUGAUCCUUUUAUAUUUAUAUCCACUUACUGAUUGUAUGGUUUGAUUUUGUUUGUUAUGACUGGUGGAAUUUUGUCUUUUUCUCAGACUUUGUUUUGUAUCUACCUUAUUUAGAGGUGACAAGUUCAGUCAGUUAAUCAUUUGAUGCGUGU